GUUAGGAGCCUGAUGUUGACUCCUGUGUUCGUUUGCUCAGGCUGCCAACACCGACUGGGGGCUUCAAUAAUGGAAGCUUAUUUUCACACAGUUCUGGAGGCUGGAGUUCCAAGAUCAAGGUUUUGGCAGCAAACUCCAAUGUCAUCUCCUCCAUGAAGCCCUGGCUGCCACUCACAGAGAAGCAGGCUGAGUCCUGCACCAGGAUGCCUGGCUGAGGAGCAGAGUGGCAUAAAAGCAUUUGCUCUUUGUUUGCAGGCCGCUGGGCCCAGGAGGCUGGGUCUGUUCAGAAUCUCUGCCCGGCCAGGCAGCAGGCGCUGACUCUCGCACUGUCCGGUUCGAAGAGCUGUUUUCUGCAGGUACUUGCAGUAGCAGCUGGCCUGGGACCCACCCCCGGGCAAAGUCCGCUCCGGAGUCUGUCACUUCCCGGCGCGGGCCACCCAGCCCCUGGCGCCCUGGCGCUCAGCGCUCCGCGGGCGCGCCCUCUGGCGGCAAGAGCCCUGAACAUUUCGCAAGCGGCGAAGGCUGGCGCGUGUUAUCCUGGGCACCCACCGGACCGAAUCGCUGGGCAGGGCUGCAAGGUGGCUGUGGUUUUCCUGCCCAGCCCACUACCACUGGGCCGUAGAUGAGAUGGAUAUCUUGUCCAGCCCGCUGCCACUGGACCAUUUCUGCAGCAGGGCCCAUCUAUCACCCCAUCUUGCAGUGUGGAGCCUCGAGUUCUCCAAAUGUCCAGAUCGCAGCUGUCACUGAGGUAUUUUCAAUUCUGCUCAUUGUGUACCCCAAAUCCAGGGAGAGAAGCUAAACAGAAACAUUUGGAGUUAUUAACAAAUGGAAUUAGUAACACUUAGGUAGGGGCAGUGAAUUAUUUGCCCAAGAUCUGAGCAAACCAGAACCAAGGGACACAAAUGGACCAUGUGGUCUCCUAAAAAUUUAUUUAUUUAUUUAUUGAGACAGGGUUUCACUCUGUCGCCAAGGCUGCAGUGCAGUGGCACAAUCUUAGCUCACUGCAACCUCUGCCUCCUGGGUUCAAGCGAUUCUUGUCUCAGCCUCCCGAGUAGCUGGGAUUACAGGCAUGUACCAUCAUGCUCGGGAAAUUUUUGUAUUUUUAGUCGAUACAGGGUUUUGCCGUGUUGGCCAGGCUGGUCUCGAGCUCCUGAUCAUAUGUGAUCUACCCACCUUGGCCUCCCAAAAUGCUGGGAUUACAGGUGUGAACCACCGCACUCAGCCGCUAGCUUUGUGAUUUUCUAAGUCUAACUCAGAAUGAGAGUAGAAGGGGCCAGCAGAGGGGGUAAAGAUUUGCUUUUAUUUAUUAGAAAUAAUAAAAAAUCAGAGUCAUGAAACGUUCUCAGAUCACAGUGGCCUCAGUCUGUGAGGAUGCCUGGGAAAGGAGGAAUGAGGAAGCUGGAAGGUCGAGUAGGGGCUGAGUGGUGGGAGAGGGAGGGGAAAGGGUGGCCCUAUGGGUGGGCAAACCAGAGCUCAACUCAAGGCAGGGGUGACCAAUAGAUGUGAGCUCAAAGGCAUUGCCUCUGAUUCCAGACCCAUCUACUGGAAAGUCUGAGGUCACCUUCCUACCUAUUGUUCUGUUAGGGCUUGAGUUUUCUAGGGAAAGUCAUUAGAGGUGGUUCCUGGCCACUGCACUCCUCAACACUAUUGGGAGGACCACCAUUCACCUUUACCCUGAACAGCCUCCCAAUUCUCCUAGGUGCCACUUUCAAGGUUUUAAUGAUCCUGUUAGAGAUGAAAUUCAUUUCCUUGUCUUCUUUCCUUAUCUGCAUCACUGGGUUUAUGUCUAUGGAGAAUUUCUUUGUCUAUGGAGAUUGGUCACAGGGUAACUGCUUGUGUCUCUUGCUUGAACACGCACGCCACUCCCAUUUACUUAGGGUGGAUCUGGUUCUGAUAUUUUGCAGCAGUUGCAUCUGUUACACAGUAAAGGAGUCCUAGAGAAGUGCUGCCAAGGGGAACUCAUAAAAAAGCCGCUGCUGGAGACUCAGAUGUGCCCUGCUGAGCGAGGCAGUCUCCUCCUACUUACCGUGCUGCAGUGAGCCGCAGUCACCCGCGGGGGAGUUGAAGAAUAAGUUGAAUAUGGUUGAACACGGUGGCAUCAUACUGCUCAGCCAUCUCUGGGGUUAACUGCAGAUGAGAUAAUUCCUGUAUAACUCCUGGAUCCUCUAGGGCAUUCUGCCACUGUAUCCACACUUCAUGGUACAAGGGCGAAUGGACAGAUCUCCAGCUUCCAAGUGAAACGUGAAGGCGACUCGACAAGGAUUUCUGUUAGGACAAUAGUUUUGCUUCAUGAAGACCAGGAAGGCUUGAACUCAGGACAAUGGGUAUCUUGAAUUUACUCAGUUCCCAUCUCUUAAGUUAUUAAACAUUAUUUCCCACCUGUCUUGUGUAUUUUUGCUUGAUCCCUAUAAUAUGGGGGCAGGCAUAAUUUUGUAUAACCCCUGUAAGACGUGUGCCAGGUACAAUUGGCCCUAUUUCCUAUGUGGGGAAACUGAGACUCAGAGCAGAGAAGCGACUCUCCUAAGUCACACGUUGUAUUGCUGGCAGAGUCUCGGGCAGGAGUCGUGCCUCCUGAUUUCCAGGUACAUGCUGCUUUUGCUAGAACCAAUCUAUUAAAGAACCAAGACUCUUUUAUUUGGAAUUAAUGAGGGAUUCCAAAAAUAGUGUUAGCAGUGCUUAACAAAUUUGAAAGAGCAAAGGAACUGAAGCCAGAGAAGACUGAGAUAGGGGAGCUGUUUCAUUGUAUCAAUUUCUAUUCACUUUGUUAAUAAUUGAUGCCACAUUUACUCAUUGUUAUAUAUUAAAAAUACUUGAUUUGCUACAAGGUAAAAAUGACCCAUUGACUUUGUCUCUCAACCUACGCUAACCCUAAAUGAGAAUCUCAUUGUGACCACGAUUUUGCAAAAUUGAUUAAAUGGAAAUAAAUGCAUUCAAGUGUCAAAGGCUGCAUUGGGAAUGGUUGCUAAUGAGCUUGACCUUUCAGAGCUUCCUGGCUGGGUGCACAGUAGGUGUUCAAUGAGUACUGAUGGAUGUCUUGACUGACUGAGAUUUCGGUUAGCCUUCCAUCCCCGGGAGCAUGGUGCCUCUAAUGUGUUAGAUGGCAUCAUGUUCCAAAAAUGAAUCGAUCUAUAAAUUUGAAGACUAAUUUGGAAACAUUUUAACCUUACUAAACAGAAUAGUAUGAUAAAACCUAGGUACCCUACGCCAGCUUCAAAUCAAUAUUCUGCUGUUUUUGUUUACUUCCCUUAACACACAUCACUGCCUCCCCACCCCCAACACACACACACUUUUUUGUUUUUGAGACAGAGUCUCGCUCUGUCACCGAGGCUGGGGUGUAGUGGCGCCAUCUCGGCUCACUGCAAGCUCCGCCUCCUGGGUUCAUGCCAUUCUCCUGUCUCGGCCUCCCAGUCUCCAGAGUAGCUGGGACUUCAGGUGUCCACUUUUUUUUUUUUUUUUUGGCUGAAGUACCAUAAAGGAAAUUUCAAACAUUGUGUCAUUCACCUGUGAAUAAAUCUGUAUGUACCUCCAAUAGAUAGACUAAAAAAACCACAACCUUAUCACCACAACACAAUUAGCCAUUGUUUCUUAAUAUCAUAGGAGGCCUCUUCCAUGCUGAAUGCUCCAU
rnacentral:lncRNA from 10 species